GAUGAACGCUGGCGGCGUGCUUAACACAUGCAAGUCGAACGGAGAAACCGGAGCUUGCCCUGUGGGAUCAGUGGCGAACGGGUGAGUAACACGUGAGCAACAUGCCCCUGACUGUGGGAUAAGCGCUGGAAACGGCGUCUAAUACUGGGGAUGUGACGUGAAAGCAUGGUCUGCGAUUGGAAAGAUUUUUCGGUUGGGGAUGGGCUCGCGGACUAUCAGCUUGUUGGUGAGGUAAUAGCACACCAAGUCAUCGACGGGUCGCCGGCCUGCGAGCGUGACCGGCCACACUGGUACUACGACACGGCCCAGACUGCUACCGGACGCAGCAGUCGGGAGCCUUGCGCAGUGGGCGCAAGCCUGAUGCAGCAGCGCCGCGUGCGUAAUGACGUCCUUUGGGUUAUAAACCUCUUUUAGCAUGGAAGAGGCGAAAUUGACGGUACCUGCAGAAAAAGCGCCGGCUAACUACGUG
rnacentral:rRNA from 1 species